rnacentral:rRNA from 1 species
AUUCCAGCUCCAAUAGCGUAUAUUAAAGUUGUUGCAGUUAAAAAGCUCGUAGUUGAAUUUCUGUACAGUCCCAGUUCUGGCUUCGGUCAAGCUGUGGUUGUGCAUCCGCUUGCAAAUCUAGCUCGGCCUUCACUGGUCGACUAGGGGAGUAAGCCCUUUACUUUGAAAAAAUUAGAGUGUUUCAGGCAGGCAAUGGCUCGAAUACAUUAGCAUGGAAUAAUGGAAUAGGACUUUUGUCCAUUUGGUUGGUUAUUGGACAUGAGUAAUGAUUAAAAGGGACAGUUGGGGCAUUAGUAUUUAAUAGUCAGAGGUGAAAUUCUUGGAUUUAUUAAAGACUAACUUAUGCGAAAGCAUUUGCCAAGGAUGUUUUCAUCA